rnacentral:rRNA from 1 species
UCCCUCAGGAUAGGUGGUGCAAUUAAAUAUUAUAUAAAAUAAUCUUAUCUGGUAAAGCGAAUGAUUAGAGGCAUUAGGGUCGAAACGAUCUUAACCUAUUCUCAAACUUUAAAUGGGUAAGAACCUUGUCUUUCUUGAUAUGAAGAUUAAGGUUAUGAUAUAUUGUGCCCAGUGGGCCACUUUUGGUAAGCAGAACUGGCGCUGUGGGAUGAACCAAACGUAAUGUUAAGGCGCCUAAAUUAACAACUCAUACUGAUACCAUGAAAGGCGUUGCUUGCUUAAAACAGCAGGACGGUGGACAUGGAAGUCGUAAUCCGCUAAGGAGUGUGUAACAACUCACCUGCCGAAGCAACUAGCCCUUAAAAUGGAUGGCGCUCAAGUUGUAUGCCUAUACAUUACCGCUAAAAUAUAUGAUUUAUAAUUUUUAUAAUUAUAAAUUUUGAAAUUUUAGUGAGUAAGGAGGGUA